UUGCAUACAUGCACAGAAAUGCCCUUUCUCUCUCUUCUGGCUUGUUCUCGUCCCACCAUACAGAUAGUCUCGCAGUCGAACCCCUGUAUUUCGUUCUACAAUUUUGGUUUUUCCUCUGCUUUUGUUUUCAUCAUCAAGUUUCAACAAAAGAAAUUGCAGUUUCUGCACCUCCAACUGCAACCGCCCAAUCUUUUCAGAACCUCUUCUUGCCUGUUCCGAAAUUCUUCUCUUUCUGACACUUCCAUUCUCAUCCGAUGCCAAUGCAGAUUUCUCAUCAAUGGACAAUGGUUCAUCUUCAAUGCUCUUCAUUAAUUUGCGAUUCACGUCAAACAACUUCGUUAUCGCCUCCUCAGACUCUUCCAACUGCCCUUUCACGCUAUCAUAUUCAAUACCUUUUCCCUUCUUGUUCUUCUCUGUGAUCUCCACCUUCCUCUUCAUGUCUUGCACGGUUAUUUGAAGAUUAGUUAACUUUUGUGCAUCAGAAUCAAGUCUUUCUAGAAUUUUCCUCUCAUUCACUUCUUGACGAGACCCUGACAAUCUCUUUGAGAUCUCCAACUUGUCCACACUAACAUGCUUCUCAACCAUUGAUUCCAUAGAAGGAUCCUCCUUGUUGCGCUUCUUCUCAGUCGAUGCAGCAGUCUCCUUCUGAGCCUUUCCAACAGUAAGGUCAAUGCUGGCAUCCUGGUCGGUAGUAGUUUCCCAUAUUUCAAGCAUCUGAUCAUCAGCCUCUACAGUCUCCCUUCUGCUGAUCCCAUAUGAUGAACACUCAGAUAUCUGAUCAAGCAUUAUGUCUUUCGUCAUCACUCCAUUCCCCUCUUCAGCGUUUUCAUGUGUUCGCUUCUGAAGCCUGAGAUUAUUAUCAGGAUCAGAUCCCAGUUCCUUGUCAUCUGGAUUUUGAUUCCCAUGCUUGCCUGCUUCAACAGCUUCUCCAUGUAAGCUGCUUUCGGAUUUCAUCUCUUCAAUCUGUCUAAUUGCAUCAGCAAGUUU
rnacentral:misc_RNA from 1 species